GUGCAAGUCGAGCGAGGAGAUCCUUCGGGAUGAUCCUAGCGGCGGACGGGUGAGUAACACGUGGGCAACCUGCCUCAUAGAGAGGAAUAGCCUUCCGAAAGGGAGAUUAAUACCUCAUAACAUUGCAGUUUCGCAUGGAACAGCAAUUAAAGGAGUAAUCCGCUAUGAGAUGGGCCCGCGGCGCAUUAGCUAGUUGGUGAGGUAACGGCUCACCAAGGCGACGAUGCGUAGCCGACCUGAGAGGGUGAUCGGCCACAUUGGGACUGAGACACGGCCCAGACUCCUACGGGAGGCAGCAGUGGGGAAUAUUGCACAAUGGGGGAAACCCUGAUGCAAGCAACGCCGCGUGAGUGAUGACGGCCUUCGGGUUGUAAAGCUCUGUCUUCAGGGACGAUAAUGACGGUACCUGAGGAGGAAGCCACGGCUAACUACGUGCCAGCAGCCGC
rnacentral:rRNA from 1 species